rnacentral:rRNA from 1 species
UACGGAGGGGGCGAGCGUUAUUCGGAAUUAUUGGGCGUAAAGCGCGCGUAGGCGGUUACUCAAGUCGGAUGUGAAAGCCCUCGGCUUAACUGAGGAAGUGCACCCGAAACUGAGUAGCUAGAGUACUAAAGAGGGUCGCGGAAUUCCCGGUGUAGAGGUGAAAUUCGUAGAUAUCGGGAGGAACACCGGUGGCGAAGGCGGCGACCUGGGUAGAUACUGACGCUGAGGCGCGAAAGCGUGGGGAGCAAACAGG